rnacentral:rRNA from 1 species
GAUUAACGCUAGCGGCAGGCCUAAUACAUGCAAGUCGAACGGUAACAGGAUAGCAAUAUCGCUGACGAGUGGCGCACGGGUGCUUAACACGUAUGCAACCUACCUAUAACUGGGGAAUAGCUCACCGAAAGGUGAAUUAACACCGCAUAAAAUCACAGAAGGACAUCCUUUAAUGAUUAAAUCUCCGGAGGUUAUAGAUGGGCAUGCGCCCGAUUAGCUAGUUGGCGGGGUAAC